AAUAUUCUACUUUGGCCAAUAUCUACUCGCAUAUUACUUUUACUUAUUCACUGUUUCCAUACUAGUAUGCAUUGCCAAGUUAUAAUACCUAAUUUUUUUUUUUUUUAUAUUAGUUAUCCAAUUAUUUUUCGAAGUAAUUAAAUUAUUUUUAAUACUUUUAUUUUAUAGUUACUGUAGGUACACACAUAUCUAUAAAGACAAAAUCACAUAAACGUUCCAUUGAGUGCAGAAACUUGUUUUUAUAUAUUGGCUGUUUGAUAUCUUCAAGGAAAACCAGUAGGCUUUGGUUUAUUCUGUUCCUGGAUAUCUCUUCUAUUAUAAUCUGCGCUGGGGCUGUGAAUCGCAGUAACUCGAAUAUAGUACGGCCAGGUUGAUUGAUUUGUUGCAGAAAUCUGUUGUCGGUGUUCCUGCAGAGUCCUUUGGUUAUUUUUAUUAAACAGGUUAGUGUCAAUUAAUUUAAGUAUAAUAAUAUAUUGGAUUCAAAUUUAGUUUCUGUGUAGUGCCGAAAAUAUGAAUUCUUAAAUUAUUUUAUUAAUAAUAUAUUUGAUUACUUUUAAAAUAUUUUAACACUUAAAAGGUUUUAAAAAUGAAUUAUUAAGUUAAGAUUUUAGAAGACAAUAAUUAAAACAAAUGUUUAGUUUUAGAUUCUGAGUAUAAUGAAGAAUCAAUUAUAGUUGUACAAAAAAUUAUCUUUUCGUAAAAAACAUACGGUUAGUAAAAAUGCUCGGAUUUGUUAUCAUAAUACAACUACCUUAAAAUAUAUGAAAUUUUCGCAUCAUAGUAAUUUAUUUGAAACAUUUUUUCGAAAUAAUCUAAUCAUUGCUUUUAACGUUGUUAUUUUUUUGUCCCUUUUUCGGUUAAGUCAAAUAUUUUUCACGCAGUACCUUAAAUUGUGUGGAAUUUCUGUUCGGUGGUACUUUAUUUAAAACAUUUAUUAUAAUUAUUGACAGUUCUAAGUCUUUUUUGUCGUUGUUUGAUAUUUGUUGAUUUCUAGAUUACCAUGGCAACAUGGUAAAGCAUACUACUCCCUCAAAAUAGUAUUUUUGUUCCCAAACGAUUUAUCGUUGCAUACAUUAUUUAAACUUAAUCACCCUUUAUAUACUAAUUAUCCAACUAUUCACUUCCAACUAUACAUCAUUUAUCUACUCUUGAGCAGCAUCAACUUUUUUUUUUAUAAUUAGUGAUGAAAAUUGUUUACACUAUAAAUAUUUUUAAUUUGUACUGUUUAUAGAUUAAUUCAACUAAACUUAAAUCUAAAAAAAAGUGCUGAUACUGGAAUGGAAGCGGCCACUGUUAUAGGUGAAAAGUUGAGAAGGUAGAAUAUAUAAGAUUAUUUCAUUUAUAUCUGUAAGGAACGAUGCUUUCG